UUUUAUCUGGGUUGCUAACUCAAUGGUAGAGUACUCGGCCGGGUUC
rnacentral:tRNA from 1 species